rnacentral:rRNA from 1 species
UCAGGACGAACGCSGGCGGCGUGCUUAACACAUGCAAGUCGAGCGGUAAGGCCCUUCGGGGUACACGAGCGGCGAACGGGUGAGUAACACGUGGGUGAUCUGCCUCGUACUCUGGGAUAAGCCUGGGAAACUGGGUCUAAUACCGGAUAUGACCACUGGUCGCAUGGUUGGUGGUGGAAAGAUUUAUCGGUGCGAGAUGGGCCCGCGGCCUAUCAGCUUGUUGGUGGGGUAAUGGCCUACCAAGGCGACGACGGGUAGCCGACCUGAGAGGGUGACCGGCCACACUGGGACUGAGACACGGCCCAGACUCCUACGGGAGGCAGCAGUGGGGAAUAUUGCACAAUGGGCGGAAGCCUGAUGCAGCGACGCCGCGUGAGGGAUGACGGCCUUCGGGUUGUAAACCUCUUUCGACAGGGACGAAGCGUAAGUGACGGUACCUGUAGAAGAAGCACCGGCCAACUACGUGCCAGCAGCCGCGGUAAUACGUAGGGUGCGAGCGUUGUCCGGAAUUACUGGGCGUAAAGAGCUUGUAGGCGGUUCGUCGCGUCGAUUGUGAAAACUUGCAGCUCAACUGCAAGCUUGCAGUCGAUACGGGCGGACUAGAGUACUUCAGGGGAGACUGGAAUUCCUGGUGUAGCGGUGAAAUGCGCAGAUAUCAGGAGGAACACCGGUGGCGAAGGCGGGUCUCUGGGAAGUAACUGAC